GCUCUCUGGGUGGCGAGUGGCGGACGGGUGAGGAAUACAUCGGAAUCUACUUUUUCGUGGGGGAUAACGUAGGGAAACUUACGCUAAUACCGCAUACGACCUACGGGUGAAAGCAGGGGAUCUUCGGACCUUGCGCGAUUGAAUGAGCCGAUGUCGGAUUAGCUAGUUGGCGGGGUAAAGGCCCACCAAGGCGACGAUCCGUAGCUGGUCUGAGAGGAUGAUCAGCCACACUGGAACUGAGACACGGUCCAGACUCCUACGGGAGGCAGCAGUGGGGAAUAUUGGACAAUGGGCGCAAGCCUGAUCCAGCCAUACCGCGUGGGUGAAGAAGGCCUUCGGGUUGUAAAGCCCUUUUGUUGGGAAAGAAAUCCAGCUGGCUAAUACCCGGUUGGGAUGACGGUACCCAAAGAAUAAGCACCGGCUAACUUCGUGCCAGCAGCCGCGGUAAUACGAAGGGUGCAAGCGUUACUCGGAAUUACUGGGCGUAAAGCGUGCGUAGGUGGUCGUUUAAGUCCGUUGU
rnacentral:rRNA from 1 species